UACGAAGGGGGCUAGCGUUGCUCGGAAUCACUGGGCGUAAAGGGUGCGUAGGCGGGUCUUUAAAGUCAGGGGUGAAAUCCUGGGAGCUCAACUCCAGAACUGCCUUUGAUACUGAGGAUCUUGAGUUCGGGGAGAGGUGAGUGGAACUGCGAGUGUAGAGGUGAAAUUCGUAGAUAUUCGCAAGAACACCAGUGGCGAAGGCGGCUCACUGGCCCGAUAACU
rnacentral:rRNA from 1 species